rnacentral:rRNA from 1 species
UUUGAUUCUGGCUCAGAUUGAAACGGCUGGUGGGAUGCUUUACACAUGCAAGUCGAACGGCAGCACGGACUUCGGUCUGGUGGCGAGUGGCGAACGGGUGAGUAAUGUAUCGGAACGCCCAGUAGCGGGGGAUAACUACGAAAAGCAGCAGCUGUAUUACCGCAUACGGCCCUUCGGGGGAAAGCGGGGGACCUUCGGGCCUCGCACCAUUAGAGCUGGGCUGAUAUCGGAUUAGCUUAGUUGGUGGGGUAACGGCUCACUGGCGACGAUCCGUAGCUGGUUUGAGAGGACGACCAGCCACACUGGGACUGAGACACGGCCCAGACUCUACGGGAGGCAGCAGUGGGGGAAUUUGGACAAUGGGGGAACCCUGAUCCAGCCAUCUCCGCGUGUGCGAUGAAGGCCUUCGGUUGUAAAGCACUUUGGCGGGAAAGAAACGGCACGGACAAUACCCCGUGCAACUGACGGUACUGCAGAAUAAGCACCGGCUAACUACGCCAGCAGCCGCGGUAAUACGUAGGGUGCAAGCGUUAAUCGGAAUUACUGGGCGUAAAGCGUGCGCAGUGCAGGUUCGGAAAGAAAGAUGUGAAAUCCCAGAGCUUAACUUUGAACUGUAUUUUAAUCACUGAGCUAGAGCGUGUCAGAGGGAGGUGGAAUUCCCGCGUGUAGUAGUGAAAUGGUGUAGAUAUGCGGAGGAACACCGAUGGUUAGUAUUUCUGAUAACACUGACGCUCAUGCACGAAAGCGUGGGGAGCAAACAGAGAUUAGAUACCCUGGUAGUCCGUACGCCCUAAACGAUGUCAACUAGCUGUUGGGGCCUUGGCCUGGUAGCGCAGCUAACGCGUGAAGCUGACCGCCUGUGGGGAGUACGGUCGCAAGAUUAAACUCAAAGGAAUUGACGGGGACCCCGCACAAGCGGUGGAUGAUGUGGAUUGACUGAUGCAACGCGAAAACCUUACCUACCCUGCGAUAUGUUCGGAAUCCCGAAGAGACGUUGGGAGUGCCUGCAAGAGAACCGGAACACAGUGCCGUAUGGCUAUUACCGUGUCGUGAGAUGUUGGGUUAAGUCCUGCAACGAGCGCAAACCUUGUCAUUAGUUGCUACGAAAGGGCACUCUAAUGAGACUGCCGGUGACAAAACCGGAGGAAGGUGGGACGACGUCAAGUCCUCAUGGCCCUUAUGGGUAGGGCUUCACACGUCAUACAAUGGUCGGGACAGAGUGGUGUCGCCAACCCGCGAGGGGGGAGCCAAUCCCAGAAACCCGAUCGCGGAAGUCCGACCGCAGUCUGCAACUCGACUGCGUGAAGUCGGAAUCGCUAGUAAUCGCGGAUCAGCAUGUCGCGGUGAAUACGUUCCCGGGUUCCGUACACACUCGCCCGUCGGGCACCAUGGGAGUGGGUUUUACCAGAAGUAGUUAGCCUAACCGUAAGGGGAGGGCGAUUACCACGGCAGGAUUCAUGACUGGGGUGAAGUCGUAACAAGGUAA